rnacentral:lncRNA from 1 species
CUAAAACAUUCCAAAGAAAUUUCUUUUGUGGACUAGGGUGGGUACAGGCCCAGCCAAAAGAAGAUUUGUAGAUUAAAAUUAAUAUGACAAUGAACGAAAAUAAUUUAAAUUACAAUUGUAAUUCUAAGUAGGGAUUUUUGUAAAAAUGUCACCUGAAUUUGUACCGCAGUUUUAAUUUGUUACCUUAAAAAAGAAAAAAAAAGAAAUGUCACCUUAAUUUUUCAAAAUCCAUGAUUUGUCAUCUGACUUUAACACCAUCCAUUUUCAAGGGUAUUUUAGUCUUUUCAUUUUUAAAGGUAUUUUAAAAAUAGAAAAAUCAUUAUAAAAAAAAUGUAUUAAAAAAAUCUCACAUCCCCCUAUCCC